rnacentral:tRNA from 3 species
GCGGGUGUGGCGGAAUUGGCAGACGCACUAGACUUAGGAUCUAGCGCUUCGGCGUGGGGGUUCAAGUCCCUCCACCCGCACCA